rnacentral:piRNA from 1 species
GUCCGUACCAGGUAGAGACCAGAUCCAAUGU